GAUUUGCCUAUUGGUCAGGCUUAACUGUCUGCACUGGUGGGACGAAUCCCUACCUUCUGAGGAAUCUUCAUGCCAUUAAUUUGGUGUGGUGGGGAAUCAGGACUGUUACUUUGAAAAAUUAGAGUGUUUAAAGCAGGCUAACGUCUGAAUACAUUAGCAUGGAAUAACGAAAUAGGACGGCUUGGUUCUACUUUGUUGGUUUCUAGGAUCACCGUAAUGAUUAAUAGGGAUAGUUGGG
rnacentral:rRNA from 2 species